AGGGGACCUCUGCAUCAAGUUUUGCCAGUCUGUGAGAUCACACACCUACCGUGGUGUCCGCUUGGAUCACUCCAAAAAGGCUGUGGUGACCCAGACAGAGGGCCUGACCAGAGACGCAGCUAUAAGUCCUCUGGCUGCAGGGAGUGCCUGACCCUGCCUGAGGAGGGGUCAGCCUGUUCUCAGGGGGAAGGUCUGCUCACCGUGGUGGCUGAGCUCAAGGAAGAGGUGGAGAGACUGAGGAACAUCGGGGCAUGUGAGCAGGAGAUUGGCACACCAGCGAGUUACUCCACCAGUCAGAGAGAAGGGUGCAAGGGGGGUGGCCCCCAGGGGGUGGUGGAGCCCCUGCCCUGUUGCUGUUGGGCAGAAGGAGGGGACCAAAAAGACAAGGAGAGUUGGAAGCAAGUACCAGUGUGGUGCCGCAGGCAACUCCCCUCUGUGCUCAACAGACUACUACCAGCUACUGAUCUUCCAGACAGGUACUGCUGCAUGUGUCCUCCGCUGGUGCAGCUUCUGUGUCCUCUCCAACAGAUUCAAUAAGCACUAACAGCACUCCUGGACUAGAACUGCUGGUCAGUCAGAGAGGUCAACUAACUCCAUAAACAUCUGUCCUACUGCAGAGCACAGGGAAGGCUGAAGACACUCUAAACAAUUGUUUUGUCCUCUAUAACAGCUCAAAAUGGAAUAUAAUUAGUCUUCUUUUAUGGCUGCAAAGUAUCCUGCAGAAAAUCCUUUGUGAGCUAUAGAAACUAAUUAUAGUAUAUCUCUUCUGUGAAAAAUUGUGUGUCUGAUGGAAGAUGG
rnacentral:lncRNA from 1 species